rnacentral:rRNA from 1 species
AUUGAACGCUGGCGGCAGGCUUAACACAUGCAAGUCGAACGAGUGGCGGACGGGUGAGUAAUGUCUGGGAAACGGCCUGAUGGAGGGGGAUAACUACUGGAAACGGUAGCUAAUACCGCAUACAAUCAGAUGUGCCCAGAUGGGAUUAGCUUGUUGGUGGGGUAACGGCUCACAAAGGCGACGAUCCCUAGCUGGUCUGAGAGGAUGACCAGCCACACUGGAACUGAGACACGGUCCAGACUCCGACGGGAGGCAGCAGUGGGGAAUAUUGCACAAUGGGCGCAAGCCUGAUGCAGCCAUGCCGCGUGUAUGAAGAAGGCCUUCGGGUUGUAAAGCACUUGCAGCGAGGAGGCGUUACUCGCAGAAGAAGCACCGGCUAACUCCGUGCCAGCAGCCGCGGUAAUUC